CUGGGAACAUUUCGUCUCUUUCCAAAUCGUCUGCAACUCAACAAAAACAACCACGAUCAUCUUCUCCGGCGACAUUUCGUCGAGAUUCUGGUCUCGACUCGUCACAAUUACCGAAACGUUCUUUAUCAGCUGAAAGGAGACAACCUUCUUCGUCCUUUUCUAGAUCCUCUUCUUCAAGACCUUCGACACCUUCAUCCCUUUCAAAACCUUCUUCAACACCUUCGUCUCAUUCAAGACCUUCGACACCUUCGUCUCAUUCAAGACCUUCGACACCUUUAUCCCAUUCAAGACCUUCCACCCCAGCGCGUGAUUCAGUGUUAGAAGGACACGGUAUCUCUUCUUCAAGACGGUCGGUUGGUGUUCGAACAAUGAUGGAUGGUCUGUGGCCGUCAACGCGCAAUGUUACAACCUCGUCCAACUCAAGAUCUACGCAUAUCACUAC
rnacentral:lncRNA from 1 species